GCUGGGCAUGGUGGCGCGUGCCUGUAAUCCCAGCUACUCAGGAGACUGAGGCAGGAGAAUUGCCUGAACCCAGGAGGCGGAGGUUGCGGUGAGCCGAGAUCGUGCCAUUGCACUCCAGCCUGGGUAACAAGAGCGAAAUUUCAUCUCAAAAAAAAAAAAAAAUCUGUUGCAUUUCUUCUUUUUUUCUCUUGAGAUGGAGUCCUGCUCUGUUGCCCAGGCUGGAGUGCAAUGGCAUGAUCUCGGCUCACUGCAACCACCGCCUCCUAGGUUUGAGCAAUUCUGCCUCAG
rnacentral:sRNA from 1 species